rnacentral:rRNA from 1 species
GACGAACGCUGGCGGCGUGCCUAAUACAUGCAAGUAGAACGCUGAAGAGAGGAGCUUGCUCUUCUUGGAUGAGUUGCGCACGGGUGAGUAACGCGUAGGUAACCUGCCUUGUAGCGGGGGAUAACUAUUGGAAACGAUAGCUAAUACCGCAUAACAAUAGGUGACACAUGUCAUUUAUUUGAAAGGGGCAAUUGCUCCACUACAAGAUGGACCUGCGUUGUAUUAGCUAGUAGGUGAGGUAACGGCUCACCUAGGCGACGAUACAUAGCCGACCUGAGAGGGUGAGCGGCCACACUGGGACUGGGACACGGCCCAGACUCCUACGGGAGGCAGCAGUAGGGAAUCGUCGGCAAUGGGGGCAACACUGACCGAGCAACGCCGCGGGAGUGAAGAAGGUUGUCGGAUCGUAAAGCUCUGUUGUAAGUCAAGAACGAGUGUGAGAGUGGAAAGUUCACACUGUGACGGUAGCUUACCAGAAAGGGACGGCUAACUACGUG